AUUGAACGCUGGCGGCAGGCCUAACACAUGCAAGUCGAACGGUAACAGGAAACAGCUUGCUGUUUCGCUGACGAGUGGCGGACGGGUGAGUAAUGUCUGGGAAACUGCCUGAUGGAGGGGGAUAACUACUGGAAACGGUAGCUAAUACCGCAUAACGUCGCAAGACCAAAGAGGGAGACCUUCGGGCCUCUUGCCAUCGGAUGUGCCCAGAUGGGAUUAGCUAGUAGGUGGGGUAACGGCUCACCUAGGCGACGAUCCCUAGCUGGUCUGAGAGGAUGACCAGCCACACUGGAACUGAGACACGGUCCAGACUCCUACGGGAGGCAGCAGUGGGGAAUAUUGCACAAUGGGCGCAAGCCUGAUGCAGCCAUGCCGCGUGUAUGAAGAAGGCCUUCGGGUUGUAAAGUACUUUCAGCGGGGAUGAAGGGAGUAAAGUUAAUACCUUUGCUCAUUGACGUUACCCGCAGAAGAAGCACCGGCUAACUCCGUG
rnacentral:rRNA from 1 species